GUUGGUGGCCAUACCACUGUGAAUGUGCCCAAGCUUGUCUGAUCUGGGAAGCUAAGGAGGACUGCGCCUGUUUAGUACUUGGAUGGGAGAAAACCAGAAGCAAUCGAUA
rnacentral:rRNA from 1 species